rnacentral:rRNA from 1 species
UACAGAGGGUGCGAGCGUUAAUCGGAAUUACUGGGCGUAAAGCGCACGUAGGUGGCGACGUAGGUCGGGUGUGAAAGCCCCGGGCUCAACCUGGGAAUUGCAUUCGAGACUGCAUUGCUGGAGUACGGAAGAGGAGGGCGGAAUUCCCGGUGUAGCGGUGAAAUGCGUAGAUAUCGGGAGGAACAUCAGUGGCGAAGGCGGCCCUCUGGUCCAGUACUGACACUCAAGUGCGAAAGCGUGGGGAGCAAACAGG